rnacentral:tRNA from 1 species
CGCGGGAUGGAGCAGUCCGGUAGCUCGUCAGGCUCAUAACCUGAAGGUCGNAGGUUCAAAUCCUNCUCCCGCACCCA